UACGUAGGGUGCAGGCGUUAAUCGGAAUUACUGGGCGUAAAGCGUGCGUAGGUGGUUUGUUAAGUCUGUUGUGAAAGCCCCGGGCUCAACCUGGGAAUGGCAAUGGAUACUGGCAGGCUAGAGUGCGGUAGAGGGUAGUGGAAUUCCCGGUGUAGCGGUGAAAUGCGUAAAGAUCGGGAGGAACACCAGUGGCGAAGGCGGCUACCUGGACCAGCACUGACACUGAGGCACGAAAGCGUGGGGAGCAAACAGG
rnacentral:rRNA from 1 species